AGAGUUUGAUCAUGGCUCAGAGCGAACGCUGGCGGCAGGCUUAACACAUGCAAGUCGAGCGGGCGUAGCAAUACGUCAGCGGCAGACGGGUGAGUAACGCGUGGGAACAUACCUUUUGGUUCGGAACAACACAGGGAAACUUGUGCUAAUACCGGAUAAGCCCUUACGGGGAAAGAUUUAUCGCCGAAAGAUUGGCCCGCGUCUGAUUAGCUAGUUGGUGAGGUAAUGGCUCACCAAGGCGACGAUCAGUAGCUGGUCUGAGAGGAUGAUCAGCCACAUUGGGACUGAGACACGGCCCAAACUCCUACGGGAGGCAGCAGUGGGGAAUAUUGGACAAUGGGGGCAACCCUGAUCCAGCCAUGCCGCGUGAGUGAUGAAGGCCCUAGGGUUGUAAAGCUCUUUUGUGCGGGAAGAUAAUGACGGUACCGCAAGAAUAAGCCCCGGCUAACUUCGUGCCAGCAGCCGCGGUAAUACGAAGGGGGCUAGCGUUGCUCGGAAUCACUGGGCGUAAAGGGUGCGUAGGCGGGUCUUUAAGUCAGGGGUGAAAUCCUGGAGCUCAACUCCAGAACUGCCUUUGAUACUGAAGAUCUUGAGUUCGGGAGAGGUGAGUGGAACUGCGAGUGUAGAGGUGAAAUUCGUAGAUAUUCGCAAGAACACCAGUGGCGAAGGCGGCUCACUGGCCCGAUACUGACGCUGAGGCACGAAAGCGUGGGGAGCAAACAGGAUUAGAAACCCUGGU
rnacentral:rRNA from 1 species